GGAGGUAUGGCUCAGUGGUAAGAGUGCCUGCCUAGCAAGCACAGGAACCUGAGUUCAAACGCCAGUACCAGCA
rnacentral:tRNA from 1 species